GGACGAAGGCUCCUCGUCGUCGGUCACAUCGUCCCCGCUCCACAACUUCUCCGCCAUGCCGCUCCACCCGGCCGCCGCGGCCGCCCCGACGCCGCCCUGGCUGCUCCGUGAGCUCCGCUCCGACGAGCGCGGCCUCUGCCUCAUCCACCUCCUCCUCAACUGCGCCGCGGCGGCCGCCGCGGGCCGCCUCGACGCCGCCAACGCCGCGCUCGAGCACAUCGCCUCGCUCGCCGCGCCCGACGGCGACGCCAUGCAGCGCGUAGCGGCCGCCUUCGCGGAGGCGCUGGCGCGGCGCGCGCUCCGGGCGUGGCCGGGCCUGUGCCGGGCGCUGCUCCUGCCCCGCGCCGCGCCCGCCGCGGCCGAGCUCGCCGCCGCGCGCAGGCACUUCCUCGACCUCUGCCCGUUCCUCCGCAUCGCCGGCGCCGCCGCGAACCAGUGCAUCCUCGAGGCGAUGGAGUCGGAGAAGAUCGUGCACGUCAUCGACCUCGGCGGCGCCGACGCCACCCAGUGGCUGGAGCUCCUCCACCUCCUCGCCGCGCGCC
rnacentral:lncRNA from 1 species